rnacentral:rRNA from 1 species
GGGAAUAUUGCACAAUGGGCGAAAGCCUGAUGCAGCAACGCCGCGUGAGUGAUGAAGGUCUUCGGAUUGUAAAGCUCUGUCUUUUGGGACGAUAAUGACGGUACCAAAGGAGGAAGCCACGGCUAACUACGUGCCAGCAGCCGCGGUAAUACGUAGGUGGCGAGCGUUGUCCGGAUUUACUGGGCGUAAAGGGUGCGUAGGCGGAUGUUUAAGUGAGAUGUGAAAUACCCGGGCUUAACUUGGGUGCUGCAUUUCAAACUGGAUAUCUAGAGUGCAGGAGAGGAGAAUGGAAUUCCUAGUGUAGCGGUGAAAUGCGUAGAGAUUAGGAAGAACACCAGUGGCGAAGGCGAUUCUCUGGACUGUAACUGACGCUGAGGCACGAAAGCGUGGGGUAGCAAACAGGAUUAGAUACCCUGGUAGUCC